UGGUUAGACCAUCGAUGAAGAACGCAGCGAAAUGCGAUAAGUAAUGUGAAUUGCAGAAUUCAGUGAAUCAUCGAAUCUUUGAACGCACAUUGCGCUCCCUGGUAUUCCGGGGAGCAUGCCUGUUCGAGCGUCAUUGCAACCCUCACGCACCGCGUGGUAUUGGGCUCGCCCCGCUGGGCUUGCCUCAAAGCUAGUGGCGGCUUCUUCAGAACCCGUAAGCGUAGUAUUACUACCCGCUGCCGGAGGCUGGAGCGGCUUGCUAGGAACCCCCACACUUUACAGGUUGACCUCGGAUCAGGUAGGGAUACCCGCUGA
rnacentral:misc_RNA from 1 species